AUGAGUAUGCCCUUGCAGUGUGGUGAUGGAUUGCCUUGCAGGGUCUGGGGAACUCCUGACCCACCAGAGAGGAGUCUGCAUAAGUUCAGCUCUGAAAAAUUGAUUUUGUGUCCCUUGAAGCAGGCAGCCUGCGAGCAAGAGGAACCCUGGGUCAACUUCAUUAGUAAGGGUAAAGGAGAAGAAGAACAUAUUUGCAUUAGGAAGCAUGGAUUUGCAAUAAUGGAAGAAGCACAAACUGCUCUAAUCCUACAGGAAAAAACUUCCUUUAUCAAAUUCACCAGGCCUGACACCUUGCUAAGACUGUACAGGCAACAUGUCAGCACACUCCUAUGGUACAGGGAGAAAACUCUCCCCAGGAAAAGAUAGUGCCUAAUUCUAAUUCUUUUGGAGUCUGCUUCUGGAAGGAGAGCCUUUUCCAACUUACAUCAUCUGGAAGGAACACUGAAGUAAGCACCCAGGUAGUCUUACCGUGAGAGUCUGAUCUUGUGUUGUGAUGAUGGACAACUCUCAAAGUCUACUGCAGGCCUCUAGAAAAUAAGAAGGUUAGAACAUAUUUUCCUGAUAGCGCACAGCUUCAAUUAUUUCUCUGCAGAAGGUGCUGCCUGCCACAGGAAUGUGCUGCAAGUCCCUCC
rnacentral:lncRNA from 1 species